rnacentral:lncRNA from 1 species
CAGUUCUCCUCGGCUCCCUGCCGGGCUCGGAUGAACGCCAUCCCGUGGGUCCGGAAAUGCGUCUUGAGCGUCAGCUGGCUCUCGAAGCCCCUCCCGCAGACUUUGCACUCCAGCUUCCCCUCGGCGCCGCCGGCGUUCCCGGAAUUCCCGGCGCUCCCCUGGGAAGCGCUCCCGGAGGGGUCCUCGGGCUCGGCUCCCCUCCUCUUCUUGUGGGAGAUGAAGCGGUGGCGGCCGAGCGAGAGCUGCGAGGUGAAGCAGAGGCCGCAGUCGCGGCACUGCUGGGAGCCGCCGUCGGCGCGGUGCUGCGGGAUGUGCGCCUGGAAUUCCGCCCGGCCGCCCGCCUGGAAGCCGCACUUGCGGCAGCGGAAGGGGGCGCGGCCGGGGGGGCCCCGGCCCGGCGUGGUGCUGUCGGGCUCCUCGCCGCACGACUCCUCCGACGACGGCCUCCGCUUGCGGCCCGGCGCCUGCGGCGGGAAACGCCCGGAAUUCCNNNNNNNNNNGGGAAGGUCCGGGGUGGAAUCCCUGCCUGGGAACCCCCGCCUGGGAACCCCCACCUGGGAAUCCCCACCUGGGAAUUCCCGCCUGGGAAUUUCUGGGGAGGUCUGAGCUGGGAACCCCCGCCUGGGAAUCCCCGCCUGGGAAUCCCCGGAUGGGAAUUCCGUGAAGGUCUGGACUGGGAAAUCCCGCCUGGGAAUUCCUGGGAAGGUCCAGGGUGGAACCCCCGCCUGGGAAUUCCCACCUGGGAACUCCUGCCUGGGAAUUCCUGGGAANNNNNNNNNNCUGGGAAUUCCCACCUGGGAACUCCUGCCUGGGAAUUCCUGGGAAGGCCCCGGCUGGGAAUUCCAGGAAGGCCUGGACAGGGACCCCCGCCUGGGAAUUCCCGCCUGGAAAUCCCUGCCUGGGAAUUCCGGGAUGGUCCAGGCUGGGAACCCCCACCUUGGAAUUCCCGGGGAACUGGGGCGGCUCCCAGAAGGAAUUCUGGGAUGAGGAGCCAUCCUUCCUCCCACGAACACACAUGGCAAUUCCCAGGAAAUCCCGGGAAUUCCUGGGUAAUCCCCACCUGGGCAGGCCCGGAUCCAAAACCUCCCCAGCUGGAUGAAAUUUAGGGUUGGGAUCUGUGGGUUCCCAGCAGGAAUUCCAGGAUAAAAUCCCCCCAGUCCUGCCCCAAACCCCCGAAAUUCCCAGAAAUUCCUGGAUAAUCCCACCUGGGCAGGCCUGGAUCCAAAACCUCCCCACUUGGAUGAAGUUUAGGGUUGGGAUUUGCGUGUUCCCAGCAGGAAUUCCAGGAUAAAAACCCUCCCCAGUCCUGCCCCAAAAUCCCGAAAUUCCCAAGAAACCCCAAGAAAUCCGGCAUAAUCCCC